rnacentral:rRNA from 1 species
ACUCCUACGGGAGGCAGCAGUGGGGAAUAUUGCACAAUGGGCGCAAGCCUGAUGCAGCCAUGCCGCGUGUGUGAAGAAGGCCUUCGGGUUGUAAAGCACUUUCAGUCGUGAGGAAGGUAGUGUAGUUAAUAGCUGCAUUAUUUGACGUUAGCGACAGAAGAAGCACCGGCUAACUCCGUGCCAGCAGCCGCGGUAAUACGGAGGGUGCGAGCGUUAAUCGGAAUUACUGGGCGUAAAGCGCAUGCAGGUGGUUUGUUAAGUCAGAUGUGAAAGCCCGGGGCUCAACCUCGGAAUUGCAUUUGAAACUGGCAGACUAGAGUACUGUAGAGGGGGGUAGAAUUUCAGGUGUAGCGGUGAAAUGCGUAGAGAUCUGAAGGAAUACCAGUGGCGAAAGGCGGCCCCCUGGACAAAGACUGACGCUCAGAUGCGAAAAGCGUGGGGAGCAAACAGGAUUAGAUACCCUGGUAGCACAGAG